rnacentral:rRNA from 1 species
UGGGGAAUAUUGCGCAAUGGGGGCAACCCUGACGCAGCAACGCCGCGUGCGGGACGACGGCCUUCGGGUUGUAAACCGCUUUCAGCAGGGAAGAUAGUGACGGUACCUGCACAAGAAGCCCCGGCUAACUACGUGCCAGCAGCCGCGGUAAUACGUAGGUCCCGAGCGUUGUCCGAAUUUAUUGGGCGUAAAGCGAGCGCAGGCGGUUAGAAAAGUCUGAAGUGAAAGGCAGUGGCUCAACCAUUGUAGGCUUUGGAAACUGUUUAACUUUAGUGCAGAAGGGGAGAGUGGAAUUCCAUGUGUAGCGGUGAAAUGCGUAGAUAUAUGGAGGAACACCGGUGGCGAAAGCGGCUCUCUGGUCUGUAACUGACGCUGAGGCUCGAAAGCGUGGGGAGCGAACAGG